rnacentral:lncRNA from 1 species
AUCUAGAGGGUGAAUGUGAAAGAUUGUUGUUCUGACAAACCUAGAGUACAGCUUUCUUAUUGGCUCUUAAUUCUGGAAAACAGAGUGACUCCUAAUAUCUUGACAUGUUUAUAUUUAUAUGUACACACAUAUCUUGGAAGGCAUCAUCUGUACUCACAUAGCACAUAAACCCUGUAAAAGUUUCAUCUAUGAAGAUUAUAUGCCUGAGAGAAAAGGGUAGAGUCUUAGAGAUCUAAACAUUUAAAGAGAUGGUUCUAAUAGGCAAAUUCACUGUCAACAACUUUUUCUUUAUUUCUUAUAAUCUGAGUAAAAUUUAAGAAAAAUCAAAUAGGUAUUUUGGCUGUUUGGUACCUGUUCUCACAAGACUGAUUUACUACAGAUACUCAUAGAACAUAGAAGUUGAUCUUCUUCACAAGAAGUCUGGCAUGACGAAAGUGUGAUCUAAAAGAAAAGAACUAAAUGCCAAGUUUCAGAACACAACUGGAGUUCCUUGAGACAGUAUUAUACCCAGAUAUUGUUGUGACUCCCAGACAACACUUCCUGGCAUUGAAUUACACUGGAUCAGGAACUGUUUUGUUCCCAAAGAUACCACAAUUUACUCCAGGAACAUUGACUAUUAUUCUGACAUCCACACUGCUUUGUGAGUAAACUUGGACCUUCAUCCUCUCUGAACCCUUCAGAAAGAGAGGGAGAGACAAAGUCUGUCCUGCUUCUGCAGCCAAGAAAGAGGCUGCUUACCCUCUCACCCCACUGAUGCCCAGCACUACCACAAGCACGGAAUAUCUUCUCCCAAAGCUGGUCCCUCUCUCUUAGAUGAUCUCAGCGUACUACAGCAUCUGCUAUUUAGGAACCCUAACCUUUUUCUUGGAUGACUUAAGGAAUUUUAAUAUUGAGGUAACUGAAGAAAUAAGUGCAUGUAAAGGCCUUUGGGGGAAGAAAACUGUGUUUUUGCUUUGAUUUAUCACCUUACUGCUCUUUUAUGAACAAUGUUUACUGCAACCUUUUUUUAUUCAGAAAUACUUGUUAUGCCACAGUUCCCUUUUAAUGUCCUAACUCAGUUUCUCCAAUUGUCCUAUUUAGUUACUCUGCCUCAGUUUGUAACCUUUCCCUCUUAAUGUUGAUGAGAUAAAGAUGAUUUAUAUCUUUAGGCUAUAAUCAUUCCUUCUUAAUGUUUGACAGGAUAACGGUCUAUCCAUUUUAGACAUCAUAGAAUAUCAGUAACCUCUCCAGUACCUCCUUCCAUUGUGUCAUCCUAGGUGCCUCCCCCCUUUAGGUUAUCCCCAUCCAGGUACCUCCCCCAUUCUGUCAUCAUUCUUGUUAUCCUAUGAAAAAUCUUGCUGUCUAAUACUCAGUGCUGGAUUCUUUGAGGCAAUAGUCUCAUUCAGCCCUGGGACCAACCAUGGAUCCAUUUGGUCCCAGUAUAUCUCUCCAUUUAAUAAAUUAUUAAAUUGUUCUCUAAUCUCUGUCUUGCUCAGUUUCUCCAGCGUUACAUACUUUGUUAAAUCCAAUUACAUUCUUUUCUCUUUUUAUAUUUAUCUUUUGUGAAAGAAGGAAGUCAUAAUAAUUCUCAUUUAAAAUUUUAGUUUAUGCUAGAAUAAUUAUUUAAGAAAUUCAAUAGAUGAAAGUGUGCCUGCACAAAUUAAUACCAUUUAUUUAUUUUUAAGUUUUAGGUCAAGUGACAACAGUCGUGGAAAUUUGUACACUGCCUUCUACUAAUAAAGAAAGUACUAUUGACAGGGCAAAAGGAAAUUCCACAUUCUCUUCUCUUUUAUAGUUAUGGUAACUAAAUCAUGUAUGAACCUGACUGUGGGACCUUACUACUUGAAUUCUUUCUUUGGGAAUUUUUGUAGUACCUUUUCUUUAACAUGGUAACUCUGGGUUUUGGCUAUAAUGUUCCUGGAAGCUUUCAUUUUUUUAUUUUCUUUCAAAAAGUUACCAAAGGAUUCUUCCUAUUUCUACUUUGCCAUCUGGUUCUAAGAUUUCUAGGUAGUUUUGUUUUUUUCAAUAGUAUUUAUUUUUCCAAAUACAUUCAAAGAUAGUUUUCAGCAUUCACCUUUGCAAAAUCUUGUGUUCCAAAUUUUUCUCCCUUUUUUCCUCCUCCCCAAGACAGCAAGCAAUCCGAUAUAGGUUAAACAUGUUGGGAAGUUUCCUUUUAAGAUUUCUUGAAAUAGGAUGUUUAGGUUCUUUUUUUUAGUCAGUCCAAUGAUUCUUAAAUUUUUUCUCCUUGAUAUGUUUUUUAGGUGUACAGCUUUUACUAUGAAAUACUUAACAUUUUUUCC